AAAAACACAAACCCUGAGUUUCCAUGUCCAACUUUGACUGUCCGUCUUAUAUGAAAUUUUUUUAUAAUUCGUAUUUUCAUUGUUGUUAGAUGAUAAAACAUGAUUAAUAUUUUAUGCGUGACUUGUCUUUUUAAUUUUUUUCAUAAUUUUUUCAAAUAAGACGAACGAUCAAACGUUGGAUACGGAAACCAAGGUUUGUCUUUUUU
rnacentral:pre_miRNA from 1 species